rnacentral:lncRNA from 1 species
UGGUAUUGGGGCAAACAAAGCGCUUGAAAAUGGAGAAAUGUGUUUUUGAUGUUCAAUUAAUGUUAAUAGUCAUCCGAACUUGAUUUUUUAUAUUUUGCUUCCUGAUCCAAAGAGAAGAAAAUCGGGGCUUUAUGCUUUAUAUAGAACUGAUUCAUCUUGCAAAAACAAACUUUGGUCGCAAAACAUGUCUAAGAUUGUUCCUAGGUCACAAAAACAAUCUUACAAAUAGAGUUUCUGCUGUUGUCACUGGUUUUAGAGAGUACCUUCGUGAAUGAAGAUAAAAAGUCAUUUAUGUUAUUUUUUAAAAGCCAAGACAUAAUAUUGUUAAUCCUCAUACCAUUUAC